CCUACGGGUGGCAGCAGUGAGGAAUAUUGGUCAAUGGACGAGAGUCUGAACCAGCCAAGUAGCGUGAAGGAUGACUGCCCUAUGGGUUGUAAACUUCUUUUAUAAGGGAAUAAAACGAGGCACGUGUGCCUUUUUGCAUGUACUUUAUGAAUAAGGAUCGGCUAACUCCGUGCCAGCAGCCGCGGUAAUACGGAUGAUCCGAGCGUUAUCCGGAUUUCUUGGGUUUAAAGGGAGCGUAGAUGGGUUGUUAAGUCAGUUGUGAAAGUUUGCGGCUCAACCGUAAAAUUGCAAUUGAUACUGGAAGUCUUGAGUACAGUUGAGGUAGGCGGAAUUCGUGGUGUAGCGGUGAAAUGCUUAGAUAUCACGAAGAACCCCGAUUGCGAAGGCAGCUGACUAAACUGUGACUGACAUUGAUGCUCGAAAGUGUGGGUAUCAAACAGGAUUAGAUACCCCUGUAGUC
rnacentral:rRNA from 1 species